rnacentral:rRNA from 1 species
AACGAACGCUGGCGGCAGGCCUAACACAUGCCAGUCGAGCGAGCAUUUCGGUGCUAGCGGCGGACGGGUGAGUAACGCGUGGGAACGUGCCCUUUUCUGCGGAAUAGUCCUGGGAAACUGGGGGUAAUACCGCAUACGCCCUUUUGGGGAAAGAUUUAUCGGAGAAGGAUCGGCCCGCGUUGGAUUAGGUAGUUGGUGGGGUAAUGGCCCACCAAGCCGACGAUCCAUAGCUGGUUUGAGAGGAUGAUCAGCCACACUGGGACUGAGACACGGCCCAGACUCCUACGGGAGGCAGCAGUGGGGAAUCUUAGACAAUGGGGGCAACCCUGAUCUAGCCAUGCCGCGUGAGUGAUGAAGGCCUUAGGGUUGUAAAGCUCUUUCAGCUGGGAAGAUAAGGACGGUACCAGCAGAAGAAGCCCCGGCUAACUCCGU